rnacentral:lncRNA from 1 species
CCCAUCACAUGAACGAGGACAGUGAGUCACUUGGGAUAUGGAGAGACGCAAGAGGAUCAGAAGUUUGAGGCCACCCUCAGGAACACAGCAAGUCUGAGGGCAGCCCGAGCCACACACGCUUCUUACCAAGAAAGGAUGAAGCCAAUGUUCCCACUCUAUCCUAAAAUAGGCUGCCAAGCACACCCAAGAAUGUGUCCUGUGACCCCACACUAGAAGACCUUGACACUCAGUAUGAUCGCAUCACGAAGCCUGAUCUAUACCCAAGGGUGGGAACCGCAUCACUGUGGUCUCUACCCAUCAUGGAGACCCUCUCACUCACUCACUCGCCCACUCACUCACAGUGUGACCUUGGGAAGCCACUGAACUGAUCUAGUCUCUCUCCCAUAAAAUGGACUAAUGGUUGCAUCUCCCCCGAGAGCUUGGCAGAAGGGUUAAAAUUAAUAUGUACUGAAUGCUAUUGAUUAUAUAAAGUU